GGCCCCAUCGUCUAGUGGUUAGGACGCAAGGUUCUCAUCCUUGCAACAGGGGUUCGAUUCCCCUUGGGGCUA
rnacentral:tRNA from 1 species